rnacentral:lncRNA from 1 species
CCCCCCCCCCCCCCCCCCCCCCCCCCCCCCCCCCCCCCCCCCCCCCCCCCCCCCCCCCCCCCCCCCCCCCCCCCCCCCCCCCCCCCCCCCUCACCACGGCCCUCCUCACUGGCACGGCCCUCCUCAGCAGCACGGCCCUCCCCAACGGCACGGCCCUCCUCACUGGCACGGACUUCUGUAUGGGCACGUCCCUCCUCUGUGGCACUGAGCUCUGCAUGGGCGCAGCUCUCCUCUGCAUUGGCGCAGAUGACACGGCCCUCCUCUACUCCUGCUUCACAAAUGCACACAACGAAAAGCACAGUGCAGGCCCACCAAUAUUCCGUGCUCAGUGAAGAAACAGAAACAAGGAGAAUGCAGUUGACACGAUGGUUGGCUGCUCGACAAAAGUCCUACAAGCGACCACCAAUGUUGAAGACCACACUCCGACAUAACCCACCGAAGCGUUCAAACAGUCAACGGAAUACGACCCAGAUUAUUCAACCCUGCGUUUCUGGUUACGUCGUUUGUCUGAAAGAGGAAGAUGAUGUGGAGGACAAUGUGGACUUGGAGGGGAAAAACGACAAUGUGGACUUGGAGGAGAAGAACGACAAUGUAGACUUGGAGGAGAAGAAAGACAAUGUAGACUUGGAGGAGAAGAACGACAAUGUGGACUUUGAGGAGAAGAACGACAACAGAACAACGACAAUGUGGACUCCCCCCCCCCCCCCCCCCCCCCCCCCCAGGCUUGGAGGAGAAGAACGACAAUGUGGACUUGGAGGAGAAGAACGACAAUGUAGACUUGGAGGAGAAGAACGACAAUGUAGACUUGGAGGAGAAGAACGACAAUGUAGACUUGGAGGAGAAGAAUGACAAUGUAGACUUGGAGGAGAAGAACGACAAUGUGGACUUGGAGGAGAAGAACGACAAUGUGGACUUGGAGGAGAAGAACGACAAUGUAGACUUGGAGGAGAAGAACGACAAUGUAGACUUGGAGGAGAACGACAAUGUAGACUUCGAGGAGAAGAACGACAAUGUGGACUUGGAGGAGAUGAAUAACAAUGUGGACUUGGAGGAGAAGAAAGACAAUGUGGACUUGGAGGAGAAGAA